UAAUCAAAUCCUUAAAAAAUCCUAACCAAAUUCUAAUCAAACUCUAAAUAAAUCCUAGUCAAAUCCUAAAUAAAUCCUAGUCAAAUCCUAAAGAAGCCUUAACUAAUCCUAAAUAAAUCUAACCAAACUUUAAAUAAAUCCUAGUCAAAUCCUAAAGAAACCUUAAUCAAUCCUAAAUAAAUCCUAAAAAAAUCCUAAAAAAAUCCUAAUCAAAUCUACAUCAAAUCCUAAAUAAAUCUUAGUCAAACUCUAGACAAAUCCUAAAUAAGUCCUAAUUAAAUCCUAAACAAAUUCUAAACAAAUUCUAAAUAAAUCUUAACCAAAUCUUAACCUAAAUCAAAUCCUAAUCCUAACCAAAUCUUAAAUCAAAUCCAAAAUCCUAAUCCUAAUCUUAACCAAAUCCUAACCCUAAUCAAACCUUAUAUCAAUCCAAAAUCCUAACCCUAAUUCUAAAUCAAACUCUAAACCAAAUCCUAAUCAAUCUCAAAUAAUUCCUAUAGCAGAUUUAAACUUCAAUAAUUAAUGAAUUAACCAUUGAUUUUAACUCAAAUUUUAAAUAUUUUUUAAAAACUAAGUUGACAAAAACUAAAAAAAAAUUAAAAAAGAUCGAAAAUACCAAAAAGAAAAUAUUCUCAAAAAUAUACUUGGGUGUAGAGUGGCCUCCUUUUUCAACCUUGAUGCCAAUCUUCCAGAGCCAAGUACUCUUGAUUGAACCAUUAUUUUUCUUCCAAACUUUACAUACUUAUUAGAAAUAAAGUUGACUACUUUUAUAAAAAAAAAUUGCUUCAAUCUAAGUAGUAGAUUGACAUAUAUCUAAGAAAACCUCAUUAGUCCUCAAAAUCCUAAAUUUUGAGAUCAUAACCUAAAAAAACCUUCAUACUUUUCAAUCUAACUAUUUGAUCAAAUCCAAAUUUACUACACACAUCAAGCGCAACUACAUCCACAAAUCCAAAAAAAAUUCAUGGGUAGAUCUACUACCAAACUUACAAAAUUCUCCAAAAAGUAUCAUCUAUUUUAUUUCACAAAUCUAGAGUCACUCAAAACAAAUCCUAACUUUACAAAGCUCUUACAAAGUCAAUAUACACUCAAAUCACUCAAAAUCAAUGCUUAAAGAAAUCUUAUUAGGUUUCUCCUAAACUCUACUUUCCAAUCUCCAAAAGAAUCCUAGAAUCAUUGUCAAGGCUUGGUUUUGUGCCUUG
rnacentral:lncRNA from 1 species